AGGUGGGAUGCCCGCCGCUAUGACGCAGCCGAGAGCCGCGGUGCCGGCGUCAGAGUUGCACCCGGGGAGGCGAGCUGCAGCGGGACGGGGGAACGGCGGGGUAGCCAAGCAACGCCGGACGCGCUGACGUCGCCGGGGCGGCAAAACGUCCGCCCGGGCCCGAGGCGGGCGGAGGCAGCAGUGGUUACGUGCGGGGGGCCGGUGACGCAGUCUUGGGGCGCUGGGACGCGGCGUGCGGAGCCGGCCGGCGGGGGCAGGCCCCAGGGCCCGGGCGCGGCGGCGGGACAGCACCUACCUUCCCGGCUUCGGGUCCGGGAGUGCGGGGCGCGGAGCCGCCGGAGCGCUGCCUCCCUCCUUCCUCCUCCCCCCGCCCCCGCCCCGCAGCGCGACACACAAUACUCGCCGGAAGCGGAAGCCGCGCCGAGAGGCUCGUGUCAGUGGAAGCCGGGGUGUCGCCGGGUGGCCGCGGGAGGACCUAGCGGUGCCUGUGGAGGAAGGAGAAGGCGGGGGCCGGAGGUGAGAAAUGUCUACGCAAGACUUUCUGCCUGUUCCGCUAUGGAGGCAUCCCCCCUCCUUCAGUCCUGGAUCUAAGGAAGUCCUGCUCUAGUCUCCUGCCCUGCCCCCGUCUUUCUCCUGAGCACUCUAAAGGUCUGUGGAAAAAAGCUUGCAAGUGAGUGUAAACUCCCACUGGAAUGUGGCUCCCAGGAGUUCUCUACUUCCUUGCUGUCCUUUAGCAGUUGAUAAAUAAUUUUAGUUGGAUGCUUCUUUUCCAUUUGUUUGGUGGCCCCAUCCUCCAUUGUGCUCUGCCUCUGGUGAGUCUAUGUUCACAUCUUGUCUCUUGGGGUUUCUGUCUUUUCUUGAAUUUCAGGCUACUUGGAUAGCUUUCUCGUGGUUUUCAGAAAAGUUAUGAUGUUGUAGAUUAUUUGGCUUUUUUUUUGUUGUUAGGAUAGUUGCAGUGCCCUUUCCAGCUUUCUACAGAGUGGAAGCUGGGAGUCAAAACUAGUGUGUUUUUGGUGUUCUACUGUAGAUAGUCGUGAUGUUUCUCAGUAAGGGGCUUAGUUUCAUAGAGGUGGCUAUUUCCUGAGUUUGAAUGAUGAAUGUCUUCACAUUCCAAGACUUGGUGACAAUGUAGAAUUCUUUACCAGUGUACCAGCCUUCUUAACUGAUACAUCAUGAGUUUUAUCAUCAACCCUAAAGCUUAUUAUCUUGACUCAGACAUUGCUGGGGUCAGGGAGCCCUUUCAAGAUUUCUUGCAAUCUUUGUGUCUCAUUUUAAUUCCUUUUUUUUUUUUUAAAGGUAUGCCUUUUUUUUCAGGACUGUUGGAUAGCUUUCUCGUUUUUUUAAGGAAAGUUAUGAUGUUGUAGAUUAUUUGGCUUUUUUUUUUGUUGUUAGGAUAGUUGCAGUGCCCUUUCCAGCUUUCUACAGAGUGGAAGCUGGGAGUCAAAACUAGUGUGUUUUUGGUAUUCUACUGUAGAUAGUCAUGAUGUUUCUCAGUAAGGGGCUUAGUUUCAUAGAGGUGGCUAUUUCCUGAGUUUGAAUGAUGAAUGUCUUCACAUUCCAAGACUUGGUGACGAUGUAGAAUUCUUUACCA
rnacentral:lncRNA from 1 species